AGAGAGAGACAUGCGCGCAUAUCAAUAAGCGGAGGAAAAGAAACUAACAAGGAUUCCCUUAGUAACGGCGAGUGAAGCGGGAAGAGCUCAAAUUUGAAAUCUUCAAGGUUUUACCUUGACGAAUUGUAGUUUAAAGAAGUGUUUUCUGCUGAAGUUUUGGUAAAAGUUCUUUGGAAUAGGACAUCAUAGAGGGUGAGAAUCCCGUAUUUGACCAUUAUUUUCAGCUUUGUGAUACACUUUCAAAGAGUCGGAUUGUUUGGGAAUGCAGUCCAAAAUGGGUGGUAAAUUUCAUCUAAAGCUAAAUAUUGGCGAGAGACCGAUAGCGAACAAGUACCGUGAGGGAAGAUGAAAAGAACUUUGAGAAGAGAGUUAAACAGUACGUGAAAUUGUCAAAAGGGAAGUGUUUGACACCAGUGUUGUUUUCUCGAAAAUCAAUUAAAAAUGGCUCGAUUUUGUAUUGCUUAGACCUUAAAAGCUCACUGUACAUUUUUCGUGUCUUUUUUAAUGCACUUUUCGUUUAACAAGGUCAACAUCCAGUUUCUUUUGUUGUAAAAGGGUCAUUGGAAGGUGGCUUUCUUUUCGGAGAAAGUGUUUAUAGCCUUUGGCCUCUGCAAUCGGAAGAGACUGAGGUCUGCAGCGUAGACUCUUCGGGGUUAGAUACAUUUGUGCUAAGUUAUAGCUUUUUAUAGACAACUUGUUGACUAUAACUAGUCUUGUAGCUUACUCGCUUAUGCUAUUUUACCUACGCUUAGGAUGUUGAGUCGUAGAGCACGCAG
rnacentral:rRNA from 1 species